rnacentral:rRNA from 1 species
ACGGUCCAGACUCCUACGGGAGGCAGCAGUGGGGAAUAUUGGACAAUGGGCGAAAGCCUGAUCCAGCCAUGCCGCGUAAGAGUUUGAUCAUGGCUCAGAUUGAACGCUGGCGGCAGGCCUAACACAUGCAAGUCGAGCGGAUGAAGGGAGCUUGCUCCUGGAUUCAGCGGCGGACGGGUGAGUAAUGCCUAGGAAUCUGCCUGGUAGUGGGGGAUAACGUCCGGAAACGGGCGCUAAUACCGCAUACGUCCUGAGGGAGAAAGUGGGGGAUCUUCGGACCUCACGCUAUCAGAUGAGCCUAGGUCGGAUUAGCUAGUUGGUGGGGUAAAGGCCUACCAAGGCGACGAUCCGUAACUGGUCUGAGAGGAUGAUCAGUCACACUGGAACUGAGACACGGUCCAGACUCCUACGGGAGGCAGCAGUGGGGAAUAUUGGACAAUGGGCGAAAGCCUGAUCCAGCCAUGCCGCGUGUGUGAAGAAGGUCUUCGGAUUGUAAAGCACUUUAAGUUGGGAGGAAGGCAGUAAGUUAAUACCUUGCUGUUUUGACGUUACCAACAGAAUAAGCACCGGCUAACUUCGUGCCAGCAGCCGCGGUAAUACGAAGGGUGCAAGCGUUAAUCGGAAUUACUGGGCGUAAAGCGCGCGUAGGUGGUUCAGCAAGUUGGAUG